UGGGACGAUGGAAGAACGGAGCCAGCUGCGAGACUUGGUGUGAAUUGCAGGACACAUUGAGCACUGAUUUUUCGAACGCGCAUUGCGGCCUCGGGUCCUGCCCGGGGCCUCGCCUGUCUGAGGGUC
rnacentral:rRNA from 1 species